rnacentral:rRNA from 1 species
GAUGAACGCUAGCGGCAGGCCUAAUACAUGCAAGUCGAACGGGUGGUCGCAAGACCACUAGUGGCGCACGGGUGCGUAACGCGUAACCAACCUGCCCCGAUCUGGGGGAUAGCCCGCCGAAAGGCGGAUUAAUACCGCAUAUACCCGCAGCCUGGCAUCAGGCAACGGGGAAAGAUUUAUUGGAUCGGGAUGGGGUUGCGUGACAUUAGCUAGUUGGCGGGGUAAGGGCCCACCAAGGCGACGAUGUCUAGGGGACCUGAGAGGGUGAUCCCCCACACUGGCACUGAGAUACGGGCCAGACUCCUACGGGAGGCAGCAGUAGGGAAUAUUAGGCAAUGGGCGAGAGCCUGACCCAGCCAUGCCGCGUGCCGGAUGAAGGCCUUCUGGGGUGUAAACGGCUUUUCUCAGGGAAGAAAAAGACCUUGCGAGGUACACUGACGGUACCUGAGGAAUAAGCACCGGCUAACUCCGUG